rnacentral:rRNA from 3 species
AGAGUUUGAUCCUGGCUCAGGAUGAACGCUAGCGACAGGCUUAACACAUGCAAGUCGAGGGGCAGCACAGGUAGCAAUACCGGGUGGCGACCGGCGCACGGGUGAGUAACGCGUAUGCAACUUACCUAUCAGAGGGGGAUAACCCGGCGAAAGUCGGACUAAUACCGCAUGAAGCAGGGGCCCCGCAUGGGGAUAUUUGCUAAAGAUUCAUCGCUGAUAGAUAGGCAUGCGUUCCAUUAGGCAGUUGGCGGGGUAACGGCCCACCAAACCGACGAUGGAUAGGGGUUCUGAGAGGAAGGUCCCCCACAUUGGUACUGAGACACGGACCAAACUCCUACGGGAGGCAGCAGUGAGGAAUAUUGGUCAAUGGCCGAGAGGCUGAACCAGCCAAGUCGCGUGAGGGAUGAAGGUUCUAUGGAUCGUAAACCUCUUUUAUAAGGGAAUAAAGUGCGGGACGUGUCCCGUUUUGUAUGUACCUUAUGAAUAAGGAUCGGCUAACUCCGUGCCAGCAGCCGCGGUAAUACGGAGGAUCCGAGCGUUAUCCGGAUUUAUUGGGUUUAAAGGGUGCGUAGGCGGCCUUUUAAGUCAGCGGUGAAAGUCUGUGGCUCAACCAUAGAAUUGCCGUUGAAACUGGGGGGCUUGAGUAUGUUUGAGGCAGGCGGAAUGCGUGGUGUAGCGGUGAAAUGCAUAGAUAUCACGCAGAACCCCGAUUGCGAAGGCAGCCUGCCAAGCCAUUACUGACGCUGAUGCACGAAAGCGUGGGGAUCAAACAGGAUUAGAUACCCUGGUAGUCCACGCAGUAAACGAUGAUCACUAGCUGUUUGCGAUACACUGUAAGCGGCACAGCGAAAGCGUUAAGUGAUCCACCUGGGGAGUACGCCGGCAACGGUGAAACUCAAAGGAAUUGACGGGGGCCCGCACAAGCGGAGGAACAUGUGGUUUAAUUCGAUGAUACGCGAGGAACCUUACCCGGGUUUGAACGCAUUCGGACCGAGGUGGAAACACCUUUUCUAGCAAUAGCCGUUUGCGAGGUGCUGCAUGGUUGUCGUCAGCUCGUGCCGUGAGGUGUCGGCUUAAGUGCCAUAACGAGCGCAACCCUUGCCACUAGUUACUAACAGGUAAAGCUGAGGACUCUGGUGGGACUGCCAGCGUAAGCUGCGAGGAAGGCGGGGAUGACGUCAAAUCAGCACGGCCCUUACAUCCGGGGCGACACACGUGUUACAAUGGCGUGGACAAAGGGAAGCCACCUGGCGACAGGGAGCGAAUCCCCAAACCACGUCUCAGUUCGGAUCGGAGUCUGCAACCCGACUCCGUGAAGCUGGAUUCGCUAGUAAUCGCGCAUCAGCCAUGGCGCGGUGAAUACGUUCCCGGGCCUUGUACACACCGCCCGUCAAGCCAUGGGAGCCGGGGGUACCUGAAGUCCGUAACCGCGAGGAUCGGCCUAGGGUAAAACUGGUGACUGGGGCUAAGUCGUAACAAGGUAGCCGUACCGGAAGGUGCGGCUG